AUGCUGCGGCCAGGGCCAAGCCCCUCCUCGCCGACGCAGGCAUCCGGGGCCGCGUGGACCCGGCCCGCACCCCGGGGCUCGGCCGCACACGGUCCUGCCCCAGUAUCCCGAGGUCCGCCGCUCUUCAGCGCCGCCGGGACCUGCGGACAGCCGGGCAGCGGCAGCGAGGCUCGCCGGGGCCCCUGCGGACCGCACACUCACCUCCCAGCCAGCGGCCCCGCCGCAGACGCCGUCCGCCGGACCAGGCCCGCAGGAACUACCCGGCCUGGCUGGGCGGGGCGCGGCACCAGGCGCGGGGACCGCCGAUUGGCCGCCGCGAGCCCCGCCCCGCCCCGCAGACACCGCCCACCACGUCCCUCCUCCACACAGGCCGGGACAGGGGCUGCGCGCGCACGUCGCGCUGCGGCGACCGUUCGGACAGAGUUACGUAAUCUGACGUAUGCCGCCGCCACCACCCACUGGCCGCGCUGGAUUGCGUCACCCGCCGCGAGACAUGGCCUGCGCCUGCGCAAAAAACAGCGCCGCUGGCGAGGCGGGUCACGGCGGCGGCGGGGGGGGCGGAGCCACCGCGAAUGGUCACAGGGGCGUCUCCCCAGUAGCCGGCAGCUUCGGGGCGCCGGAGCGUGCCUGAUGCGUGUGGCAAGGGGCUGGGUCCCCGGCUGGCCGGAGCACCAAGUGCCCCACCCCGCCGCUGCUAGGCCCCCGACAGGUCCACCGCGCCCCGCCCGGAACGCAGGGGAUACCGCAAUGGGUGCCCCGAGAUCUGCCUCCUUGGGCUCCCGUGACCUGCGGUUUCUCCGGGCUCCGCUUCUGUGGGUGCGGGGCCCCCGCGCCGCCGUCCGGGGACUCGGCUUUGUCUCGCCGCCCAGUCGCGUUGGUGGUGGAAAGCGGGAGGUUUCCCUCCGCUCCCUCUGGGCGCGUGUUACUCAGAGCCCCGGAAUCAAGCGCCUGUCCCGGCCUGGACAGGUGCAUGGGGGCUCUGAAGCCUGGCCGGGCUUCUGCAAGUGUGAGAUGUUUGAUCUGCUGCCCUCGAAGCCGGCCGUGCGCCGGCGUCAGGGAGAGUCAGGAUAG
rnacentral:lncRNA from 1 species